GGGGUUGUGGCUCCAUGGCAGAGCAUCAGUUUGGCACACAGAAGGUCCUAGGUUCAAUCACUGGCAUCUCCA
rnacentral:tRNA from 1 species